rnacentral:rRNA from 1 species
UACGUAGGGUGCGAGCGUUAAUCGGAAUUACUGGGCGUAAAGCGUGCGCAGGCGGUUUUUUAAGCCUGAUGUGAAAUCCCCGGGCUUAACCUGGGAAUGGCAUUUGGGACUGCAAGGCUUGAGUGUGGCAGAGGAGACUGGAAUUCCUGGUGUAGCAGUGAAAUGCGUAGAUAUCAGGAGGAACACCGAUGGCGAAGGCAGGUCUCUGGGCUAACACUGACGCUGAUGCACGAAAGCGUGGGGAGCAAACAGG